rnacentral:rRNA from 1 species
UUACCCACUCCCGGCACGGGGAGGUAGUGACGAAAAAUAACGAUACGGGACUCAUCCGAGGCCCCGUAAUCGGAAUGAGUACACUCUAAACCCUUUAANGAGGAUCAAUUGGAGGGCAAGUCUGGUGCCAGCAGCCGCGGUAAUUCCAGCUCCAAUAGCGUAUAUUAAAGUUGUUGCGGUUAAAAAGCUCGUAGUCGAAUUUGUGUCUCGUGCCGCUGGUUCAUCGUUCGCGGUGUUAACUGGCGAGUCGCGAGACGUCCUGCCGGUGGGCUUAGCUCGCAAGGGCGGCCCAACUCAAUCCUGCCGCGGUGCUCUUCAUUGAGUGUCGAGGUGGGCCGGCACGUUUACUUUGAACAAAUUAGAGUGCUUAAAGCAGGCUAAAACUUUGCCUGAAUACUGUGUGCAUGGAAUAAUGGAAUAGGACCUCGGUUCUAUUUUGUUGGUUUUNNGAACCCCGAGGUAAUGAUUAAUAGGAACGGAUGGGGGCAUUCGUAUUGCGACGUUAGAGGUGAAAUUCUUGGAUCGUCGCAAGANGAACAGAAGCGAAAGCAUUUGCCAAAAACGCUUUCAUUGAUCAAGAACGAAAGUUAGAGGUUCGAAGGCGAUCAGAUACCGCCCUAGUUCUAACCAUAAACGAUGUCAGCUAGCGAUCCGUCGACGUUCCUCCGAUGACUCGACGGGCAGCUUCCGGGAAACCAAAGCUUUUGGGUUCCGGGGGAAGUAUGGUUGCAAAGCUGAAACUUAAAGGAAUUGACGGAAGGGCACCACCAGGAGUGGAGCCUGCGGCUUAAUUUGACUCAACACGGGAAACCUCACCAGGCCCGGACACCGGAAGGAUUGACAGAUUGAGAGCUCUUUCUUGAUUCGGUGGGUGGUGGUGCAUGGCCGUUCUUAGUUGGUGGAGCGAUUUGUCUGGUUAAUUCCGAUAACGAACGAGACUCUAGCCUGCUAACUAGGCGUAUUUUGACAUCCUAAAGGCCCGUCGGCUCGGGG